GCUCAGAUUGAACGCUGGCGGCAGGCCUAACACAUGCAAGUCGAGCGGAUGAAGGGAGCUUGCUCCUGGAUUCAGCGGCGGACGGGUGAAUGCCUAGGAAUCUGCCUGGUAGUGGGGGAUAACGUCCGGAAACGGGCGCUUCUACCGCAACGUCCUGAGAAAGUGGGGAUCUUCGGACCUCACGCUAUCAGAUGAGCCCAGGUCGGAUUACUGGUUGGUGGGGUAAAGGCCUACCAAGGCGACGAUCCGUAACUGGUCUGAAGGAUGGUCACACUGGAACUGAGACACGGUCCAGACUCCUACGGGAGGCAGCAGUGGGGAAUAUUGGACAAUGGGCGAAAGCCUGAUCCAGCCAUGCCGCGUGUGUGAAGAAGGUCUUCGGAUUAUGCAAAAAGCACUUUAAGUUGGGAGGAAGGGCAGUAAGUUAAUACCUUGCUGUUUUGACGUUACCAAGAAUAAGCACCGCUUAACUUCGUGCCAGCAACCGGUAAUACGCGCGCAAAAGAAUUACUGGGUUCGCCGUUCCAAGAAUCUUUACUGAGCCAGAGCAGUAGGCGGUGGAAUUUCCUGUGUAGCGGUGAAAUGCGUAGAUGAAGGAACACCACUGUGGCGGCGCCACCGACUGAUACUGACACCUGAGGUGCGAAAGCGUGGGAAACAGGAUUAGAUACCCUGGUAGUCCACGCCGUAAACGAUGUACGCGCGAGCCGCCGUUAGGAUCCUUGAGAUCUUAGUGGCGCAGCUAACGCGAUAAGUCGACCGCCUGGGAGUACGGCCGGCCUGCAAGGUUAAAACUCAAAUGAUUGACGGGGCCCGCACAAGGUGGAGCAUGUGGUUUAAUUCGAAGCAACGCGAAGAACCUUACUGGUUGCCUUGACAUGCUGAGAACUUUCCAGAGAUGGAUUGUUGGGCUGAACUCAGACACAGGUGCCAGCGGCUGUCGUCAGCUCGAGUGUGAGAUGUUGGGUUAAGUCCCGUAACGAGCGCAACCCUUGUCCUUUUACCAGCACCUGGGGGGCACUCUAAGGAGACGGUGACAAACCGGAGAAGGUGAUGACGUCAAGUCAUCAUGGCCCUUACGGCCAGGGCUACACGUGCUACAAUGGUCGCGCCAAAGGGUUGCCACCAGCCGAGGUGGAGCUAAUCCAUAAACCGAUCGUAGUCCGGAUCGCAGUCUGCAACGGACUGCGUGAAGUCGGAAUCGCUAGUAAUCGUGAAUCAGAAUGUCACGGUGAAUACGUUCCCGGGCCACACACCGCCCGUCACACCAUGGGAGUGGGUUGCUCCAGAAGUAGCUAGUCUAACCGCAAGGGGACGGUUACCACGGAGUGAUUCGCUGACUGGGGUGAAGUCGAAACAGGUAGCCGUAGGGAACCUGCGGCUG
rnacentral:rRNA from 1 species